rnacentral:lncRNA from 1 species
UGGGAGGGAGAGCAAAACCUUCAGAGAGGCAGACACGCCUGGGAAACCAGAAGAGACUACACUCUGCCCACAUUACUGAUUCCAGAGGAAAACACCAAACGCCAUCUGGAACCCUGGUGCACAGAAGCUCCCAGAAAGGGCGGCGCAGGUCCUCCUGGUUGCUGCCCUAAAAGAGAGCUCAUAAGAAACACCCCACGAGCAAACUUGAGCCUCGGGACCACAGGUAAGACCAACCUUCCUGCUCCAAGCAACCUGCCUGGUGAACUCAGGACAUAGGCUCACAGGAACAGCUGAAGACCUGUAGAUAGGAAAAACUACACGCCUGAAAGCAGAACACUCUGCUCCCAUAACUGGCUGAAAGCAAACAGGAAAA